UUUCCGGUUGAUCCUGCCGGACCUGACUGCUAUCGGAUUGAUACUAAGCCAUGCGAGUCUUUGCAGUAAUGCAAGGCAUACGGCUCAGUAACACGUAGUCAACUUACCCUAUGGACGAGGAUAAUCUCGGGAAACUGAGCAUAAUACUCGAUAGAUCAUAAUGCCUGGAAUGGUUUAUGGUUGAAAUGAUUCGUCGCCAUAGGAUGGGACUGCGGCCUAUCAGCUUGUUGGUGAGGUAAUGGCCCACCAAGGCGAUUACAGGUACGGGCUCUGAGAGGAGAAGCCCGGAGAUGGGUACUGAGACAAGGACCCAGGCCCUAUGGGGCGCAGCAGGCGAGAAAACUUUGCAAUGUGCGAAAGCACGACAAGGUUAAUCCGAGUGAUUUCUGCUAAAGAAAUCUUUUGCAAGUCAUAAAACCACUAGUGAAUAAGGGGUGGGCAAGUUCUGGUGUCAGCCGCCGCGGUAAAACCAGCACCUCAAGUGGUCAGGAGGAUUAUUGGGCCUAAAGCAUCCGUAGCCGGCUCUGUAAGUUUUCGGUUAAAUCCAUGUGCUCAACGCAUGGGCUGCCGAAAAUACUGCAUAGCUAGGGAGUGGGAGAGGUAGACGGUACUCAGUAGGAAGGGGUAAAAUCCUUUGAUCUAUUGAUGACUACCUGUGGCGAAGGCGGUCUACCAGAACACGUUCGACGGUGAGGGAUGAAA
rnacentral:rRNA from 1 species